rnacentral:rRNA from 1 species
AUGUGGUUAAUUCGAAGCAACGCGAAGAACCUUACCAGGCCUUGACAUGCAGAGAACUUUCCAGAGAUGGAUUGGUGCCUUCGGGAACUCUGACACAGGUGCUGCAUGGCUGUCGUCAGCUCGUGUCGUGAGAUGUUGGGUUAAGUCCGUAACGAGCGCAACCCUUGUCCUUAGUUACCAGCACGUUAUGGUGGGCACUCUAAGGAGACUGCCGGUGACAAACCGGAGGAAGGUGGGGGAUGACGUCAAGUCAUCAUGGCCCUUACGGCCUGGGCUACACACGUGCUACAAUGGUCGGUACAAAGGGUUGCCAAGCCGCGAGGUGGAGCUAAUCCCAUAAAACCGAUCGUAGUCCGGAUCGCAGUCUGCAACUCGACUGCGUGAAGUCGGAAUCGCUAGUAAUCGUGAAUCAGAAUGUCACGGUGAAUACGUUCCCGGGCCUU